UUAAGUUAUUAAGGGCGCACGGUGGAUGCCUUGGCACUAGAAGCCGAUGAAGGACGUUACUAACGACGAUAUGCUUUGGGGAGCUGUAAGUAAGCUUUGAUCCAGAGAUUUCCGAAUGGGGAAACCCAGCAUGAGUUAUGUCAUGUUAUCGAUAUGUGAAUACAUAGCAUAUCAGAAGGCACACCCGGAGAACUGAAACAUCUUAGUACCCGGAGGAAGAGAAAGAAAAUUCGAUUCCCUUAGUAGCGGCGAGCGAAACGGGAAGAGCCCAAACCAACAAGCUUGCUUGUUGGGGUUGUAGGACACUCUAUACGGAGUUACAAAGGACGACAUUAGACGAAUCAUCUGGAAAGAUGAAUCAAAGAAGGUAAUAAUCCUGUAGUCGAAAAUGUUGUCUCUCUUGAGUGGAUCCUGAGUACGACGGAGCACGUGAAAUUCCGUCGGAAUCUGGGAGGACCAUCUCCUAAGGCUAAAUACUCUCUAGUGACCGAUAGUGAACCAGUACCGUGAGGGAAAGGUGAAAAGCACCCCGGAAGGGGAGUGAAAUAGAACCUGAAACCGUGUGCUUACAAGUAGUCAGAGCCCGUUAAUGGGUGAUGGCGUGCCUUUUGUAGAAUGAACCGGCGAGUUACGAUUUGAUGCAAGGUUAAGCAGUAAAUGUGGAGCCGUAGCGAAAGCGAGUCUGAAUAGGGCGUUUAGUAUUUGGUCGUAGACCCGAAACCAGGUGAUCUACCCUUGGUCAGGUUGAAGUUCAGGUAACACUGAAUGGAGGACCGAACCGACUUACGUUGAAAAGUGAGCGGAUGAACUGAGGGUAGCGGAGAAAUUCCAAUCGAACCUGGAGAUAGCUGGUUCUCUCCGAAAUAGCUUUAGGGCUAGCCUCAAGUGAUGAUUAUUGGAGGUAGAGCACUGUUUGGACGAGGGGCCCCUCUCGGGUUACCGAAUUCAGACAAACUCCGAAUGCCAAUUAAUUUAACUUGGGAGUCAGAACAUGGGUGAUAAGGUCCGUGUUCGAAAGGGAAACAGCCCAGACCACCAGCUAAGGUCCCAAAAUAUAUGUUAAGUGGAAAAGGAUGUGGCGUUGCCCAGACAACUAGGAUGUUGGCUUAGAAGCAGCCAUCAUUUAAAGAGUGCGUAAUAGCUCACUAGUCGAGUGACACUGCGCCGAAAAUGUACCGGGGCUAAACAUAUUACCGAAGCUGUGGAUUGUCCUUUGGACAAUGGUAGGAGAGCGUUCUAAGGGCGUUGAAGCAUGAUCGUAAGGACAUGUGGAGCGCUUAGAAGUGAGAAUGCCGGUGUGAGUAGCGAAAGACGGGUGAGAAUCCCGUCCACCGAUUGACUAAGGUUUCCAGAGGAAGGCUCGUCCGCUCUGGGUUAGUCGGGUCCUAAGCUGAGGCCGAUAGGCGUAGGCGAUGGAUAACAGGUUGAUAUUCCUGUACCACCUAUAAUCGUUUUAAUCGAUGGGGGGACGCAGUAGGAUAGGCGAAGCGUGCGAUUGGAUUGCACGUCUAAGCAGUAAGGCUGAGUAUUAGGCAAAUCCGGUACUCGUUAAGGCUGAGCUAUGAUGGGGAGAAGACAUUGUGUCUUCGAGUCGUUGAUUUCACACUGCCGAGAAAAGCCUCUAGAUAGAAAAUAGGUGCCCGUACCGCAAACCGACACAGGUAGUCAAGAUGAGAAUUCUAAGGUGAGCGAGCGAACUCUCGUUAAGGAACUCGGCAAAAUGACCCCGUAACUUCGGGAGAAGGGGUGCUCUUUAGGGUUAACGCCCAGAAGAGCCGCAGUGAAUAGGCCCAAGCGACUGUUUAUCAAAAACACAGGUCUCUGCUAAACCGUAAGGUGAUGUAUAGGGGCUGACGCCUGCCCGGUGCUGGAAGGUUAAGAGGAGUGGUUAGCUUCUGCGAAGCUACGAAUCGAAGCCCCAGUAAACGGCGGCCGUAACUAUAACGGUCCUAAGGUAGCGAAAUUCCUUGUCGGGUAAGUUCCGACCCGCACGAAAGGCGUAACGAUUUGGGCACUGUCUCAACGAGAGACUCGGUGAAAUCAUAGUACCUGUGAAGAUGCAGGUUACCCGCGACAGGACGGAAAGACCCCGUGGAGCUUUACUGUAGCCUGAUAUUGAAAUUCGGCACAGCUUGUACAGGAUAGGUAGGAGCCUUUGAAACGUGAGCGCUAGCUUACGUGGAGGCGCUGGUGGGAUACUACCCUAGCUGUGUUGGCUUUCUAACCCGCACCACUUAUCGUGGUGGGAGACAGUGUCAGGCGGGCAGUUUGACUGGGGCGGUCGCCUCCUAAAAGGUAACGGAGGCGCUCAAAGGUUCCCUCAGAAUGGUUGGAAAUCAUUCAUAGAGUGUAAAGGCAUAAGGGAGCUUGACUGCGAGACCUACAAGUCGAGCAGGGUCGAAAGACGGACUUAGUGAUCCGGUGGUUCCGCAUGGAAGGGCCAUCGCUCAACGGAUAAAAGCUACCCCGGGGAUAACAGGCUUAUCUCCCCCAAGAGUUCACAUCGACGGGGAGGUUUGGCACCUCGAUGUCGGCUCAUCGCAUCCUGGGUCUGUAGUCGGUCCCAAGGGUUGGGCUGUUCGCCCAUUAAAGCGGUACGCGAGCUGGGUUCAGAACGUCGUGAGACAGUUCGGUCCCUAUCCGUCGUGGGCGUAGGAAAUUUGAGAGGAGCUGUCCUUAGUACGAGAGGACCGGGAUGGACAUACCUCUGGUGUACCAGUUGUCGUGCCAACGGCAUAGCUGGGUAGCUAUGUGUGGACGGGAUAAGUGCUGAAAGCAUCUAAGCAUGAAGCCCCCCUCAAGAUGAGAUUUCCCAACUUCGGUUAUAAGAUCCCUCAAAGAUGAUGAGGUUAAUAGGUUCGAGGUGGAAGCAUGGUGACAUGUGGAGCUGACGAAUACUAAUCGAUCGAAGACUUAAUCAA
rnacentral:rRNA from 1 species